rnacentral:rRNA from 1 species
UACGAAGGGGGCUAGCGUUGUUCGGAAUUACUGGGCGUAAAGGGCGCGUAGGCGGUUGCUCAAGUCAGGCGUGAAAGCCCCGGGCUCAACCUGGGAAUAGCGCUUGAGACUGGGCGGCUUGAGUUCGGGAGAGGUGAGUGGAAUUCCCAGUGUAGAGGUGAAAUUCGCAGAUAUCAGGAGGAACACCAAUUGCGAAGGCAGCUCGCUGGGACGUUACUGACGCUGAGACGCGAAAGCGUGGGGAGCAAACAGG